UACGAAGGGGGGCUAGCGUUGCUCGGAAUCACUGGGCGUAAAGGGUGCGUAGGCGGGUCUUUAAGUCAGGGGUGAAAUCCUGGAGCUCAACUCCAGAACUGCCUUUUGAUACUGAAGAUCUUGAGUUCGGGAGAGGUGAGUGGAACUGCGAGUGUAGAGGUGAAAUUCGUAGAUAUUCGCAAGAACACCAGUGGCGAAGGCGGCUCACUGGCCCGAUACUGACGCUGAGGCACGAAAAGCGUGGGGGAGCAAAC
rnacentral:rRNA from 1 species